GUGAAUCAUCGAAUCUUUGAACGCACAUUGCGCCCUUUGGUAUUCCAAAGGGCAUGCCUGUUUGAGCGUCAUUUCUCCUUCAAACCCCCGGGUUUGGUAUUGAGUGAUACUCUUAGUCAGACUAAGCGUUUGCUUGAAAAGUAUUGGCAUGGGUGCGCUAGAUAGUGCCUCCGAUUAUUCAAUGUAUUAGGUUUAUCCAACUCGUUGAACGGUCGGGACGUAAAUUUCUGGUUGCUGGCUCGGCCUUACAACAACAAACAAGUUUGACCUCAAAUCAGGUAAGAAUACCCGCUGAACUUAA
rnacentral:rRNA from 1 species